GAUGAAGAACGUAGCGAAAUGCGAUAAGUAGUGUGAAUUGCAGAAUUCAGUGAAUCAUCGAAUCUUUGAACGCACAUUGCGCCCUGUGGUAUUCCGCAGGGCAUGCCUGUUCGAGCGUCAUUGACACCCUCAAGCUCUGCUUGGUCUUGGGCGUUUGUGCCUGCCGUUGCGCAGGGACUCGCCUCAAACUCAUUGGCAGCCUGCCUUUGCCGGUCUUUGCACAGCACAGUCGUGCCAAAGCCGCGGUGAGCAGGCGCUCCACAAGCCCUUUUCAGCUUGACCUCGGAUCAGUUAGGAAUACCCGCUGAACUUAAGCAUAUCAAUAAGCGGAGGA
rnacentral:misc_RNA from 1 species